CCCCCCCACUGAUGGCUGGUGUCUUGCAGGGCAGUGGAAGGGGAGAUUUACCGCCUGGGGCUGCGCCUGGAGGGGCUGAGAGAGCGGCUGGAGCCGGGGGGCAGGCGGCAGUCCCUCCCUCAGCCCCCCCUGCAGCCCCACUGUCCCCAAGCCCCAUCCCCACCACCGGCUGACCAUUCCCCACGCCCCGAGGUGAGCUGGGGGUGCAAAGGUUCCCCACCCCUCUGCAUUUAUGGGGGGUUGCCCCUCUUACUCCCUUGUGCCCACAGAUCCCUGCGCUGGUGGAGGAACCUCGGGGGACAGCAGGGGCCAGCGAGGGGGUGUCAGGGGGGCUGCCCUGGCCCCUCUGGCACAAGCAGCGCCAAGUGGAGGAGGAUUUUGGGGAGCUGCUGGAGCAGUACAAGCACUUCAAGUCCUUGCCGGAGUCGCUGAGCCUGGAGCAGCUGAGCCUGGUGGGGAGCCAGUCUCAGGAGGAGGUGGAUGCACCCACGGCAGGGGAUGGUGGCCCCAGCAAGGUCCCCUGCAGGACACGGUCACUCGAGGAGGAGCCCAACCUCGAGCCCUUGGCACUGCACCUCCCACAGAGAAGAGCUGCGACUCUUCCCCCCAGAGGACCCGCAAACCUGGAGGAGACACUGGGCCACCCCUCCCCUGCCCCUGCUGAGGAGCCACCAGCCUCUGCCAAGCCCCCCCUGGGGGUCCCUGGGCCACCACGGGUGUCCCUGUCCCUCGGUGGGACAGGCAGUGGUGCCACCCAGCCUGGGCCCCACAAGGAGCAGCGCAUCGUGUCCCCAGAGACCGACAGUGGCUUCGUGGGCUCGGAGGCCAGCAGGGUGUCACCCCCCGUGCACACCCCUGAGCAACAUCGCCCAGGGGCUCCGGGCUCGCUGGGACCCUCCGUCCCCAUCCCCAGCAGCCUCCGUACCCCACGGGAGAGAGAGACGACCCCGCUUCCCUCCGAGACAGCACUGAUGGGCAUCUACCCCCCGAGGGGCACAGGGGAGCCCCCCAGCAGCCCCUCUGAGAGCAGCUCCCCCCCUCGCUGGGCUGAGGGCAGCGAGGUGGGACCCGACCCCGACGGUGACGGCACUCACACGGACUCGGAGGUGGGAGACAGGAGCUGUGCCAGCGCUGGUGGCCGCCCCCCAGCCAUGGCCAGGAGCCCCACCAGCCCCCUGCCCUCGCCCCAAACUCCAUCCCCCACCCUCCUGUCCCCCGACCUGCCGUCCGUGGACCCGGCUCACUGUGACCUGCUGGGCUUCCGUCUGGAGCGCGAGUGAGUGCCUGUGUCCCCAGACCCCCUGGGUGACACAGGGACCCCCCCAAAGGCACCCACUGGGCACUGGAUGCCAGCCCAGGCUUGGUUUGGGGAGGGUCCCAGCUGCUGGGUGCCGAUGAUGGGGAUGGG
rnacentral:lncRNA from 1 species